rnacentral:rRNA from 1 species
AGGGCUUUGUGAUGCACUCUCAACGAGUCGAGUUGUUUGGGAAUGCAGCUCAAAAUGGGUGGUAAAUUCCAUCUAAAGCUAAAUAUUGGCGAGAGACCGAUAGCGAACAAGUACCGUGAGGGAAAGAUGAAAAGAACUUUGGAAAGAGAGUUAAACAGUACGUGAAAUUGUUGAAAGGGAAACGCUUGAAGUCAGUCGCGUCAGCCAAGGAUCAACCUUGCUUCUGUGAGGUGUACUUCUUGGUUGAUGGGUCAGCAUCAGUUUUGGCUGCUGGACAAGGGUCAGGGAAAUGUGGCACCUCCGGGUGUGUUAUAGUCUCUGAUCAUAUACAGUGGCUGGGACUGAGGAACUCAGCACGCCGAAAGGCCGGGGUUUACCCACGUUCGUGCUUAGGAUGCUGGCAAAAUGGCUUUAAUCGACCCGUCUUGAAACACGGACCAAGGAGUCUAACAUGCAUGCGAGUGUUUGGGUGGAAAACCCGAGCGCGUAAUGAAAGUGAAAGUUGGGAUCUCUGUCAUGGAGAGCACCGACGCCCAUACCUGAAGUUUACGGACGGAUAUGCGGUUGAGCAUGUAUGUUGGGACCCGAAAGAUGGUGAACUAUGCCUGAAUAGGGCGAAGCCAGAGGAAACUCUGGUGGAGGCUCGUAGCGAUUCUGACGUGCAAAUCGAU